GAAGGAAGGGAAGAGAAGGGAAGGGAGGAAGGAAGGAAGGUGAGCGAUAGGGAGGAAGUAAAGAAGGAAGGGAGGCUGGUUGGUUUGAUUAGCUGUUGAACAAAAUUCCAUGUAGAAAGUAGCUUCCUAGUCUAUAUCUUUUAGCUGUGUUUAUUUCGAAGCAUUGUGUGUUUUUGUUAGGGUCACUUAUAGAAUAUUUAGAAGAAUAAUUGCUGCCUCAUGCAUUUCACCAUCCAGUGCCUGGUGAGACUUAAAAACCCAUAGUUAUAAUUUUGUUUCUUUGACCAAAGUUUGUUUUAUUUUCAAAUAUAAGUUCAAUCCCUUAAGACUCAUCUAUAGCAUAUAUAUCAAACAAAAACAAGUCAAAUUUAACUCAGAAUUUUGCUAUAAAUGAUUUUACUGAAUAUCAUCUGACCAAUGAAAUAACAAUUAUGUGUUCUGAAAUGACUUCGACAUUUUUAAGGUGGUAAGUUUAACAACAACAACAAAAAAUCUCUGAUAUAAAAAUGGCUUAUUCUCUAUAAUUUAGAGGUAAGCUAAAGUUUUCACCAAGAGUCCAUUAUUUAUCACUUUCCAAACUUGGAAAAGUCACUUAACUCCACUGAACCAGUAGAAAUAAAAUUAGUGGUAACGUUGAAAGCAAAAACCAGAACCAGUCCUAUUGCCUUGUUAAUAAUGGCCUAAUUGUGUAAAUGACUGUUACAAAUUUCUUACCUGGUCCUGAGAGAUAGCUAGUAUGUGGCACCCUAAGUUUUAUAUAUUCUGUUACAAAACAAAAACAACAACAAUAAGCUGUUUUCUUUUGCCGUUACUCAAACAUCCGGAUUUCUAUUGUAGCCCCUAGAACAUUGUUACCUUUGGUUGGAUGGACUGAAAAGUGUUGUGAUUUUUCUCCUAUGUAGAAUAUUCAGAGGAAAAGUGCAGGGCAGUGCACAAUGCAUACAAACACUGACAGGAUCACUUUUCCUUAAGCCGAACUAUACUCUAGGCCUUCUCUCUCUCUAGUUACCACAGUUGAACCCACUCAGCCCCUACUUACAGCCUCAGUCCCACCCCAGGCUCACAGGCCAGUUUUGUCCCUAAAAUUAGGAAUUGAAAGAUCUAGGGUAAGCCAGCCACAAUGGAGACAAGAUUUAGAGAUAAGCAAAAGUGACUUGGACUCACAUGUCUGUCAUAUAUUACCUCUGUGGUUUUAGCCAAGUUCCUUAACCUCUCUGAGUCUCAGAUUUCUCAUCUAUAAAGUGAUGAUAAUAAUGUCUGCUCGUGAGUUGGAAGAUUAAGUGACAUUAUGUAGAUCUUAUACCUGACACCAAUUGCUUUUCCUGUGAAAGUUCAAAACUUCCCUUAUGAUUUAAUUCUUCAAGGAAGGGGACCUGACAUUUUCCAUUCCUGUAUUUACUUAUAUUCUAGGCAUGUAUUGGUUAACCUAUAGGUUUUGCAAUUAAGAGGGACCUCAAUUUUGACCUCAGAUCUGCUACUCAUUGGCUGUAUGAUCAUAGGGGCAAGUUACUUCAACUUCGUAAGCCUUCAUUUCCUCAGUGGUGAUACAGAAUAAAAAUAACAUAAAGCACAUAGAUAAAUUAUUAUGAGGAUAAUGUAAUAUAUAUUAUAGCCUAAAAUUCUGUGCAGAGUCUUCAGAAUGCUUUCAUGUAAGUUACCCUAUUCAGUCCUCUCAAAAGCCCUUUGCAAUGGCUGUCUCUCAAAUGAGAACCAAAUGGAUAAGACAUUAUAACUCAGCAAGGUCAAUAAACACCACAGAAUAAACACCAAAUAAGUGGAUGAUAUCAUCAUAGUAAAAUGAGGAAUUAGAAAAGUUACCCUGACAUUAUGGUGAUGUUUGGUUCACAAACUCAUUCAGUGCACAGCAAGUGUCCAAGUAAGGAAGGGGUCUGAGGAUGACAGGUACUCAGGAAUGGGAAAGUUUAUGACUGUUGGCUCCAACAAAUGGAUAACCAGAUUUAACAAGAUAUUGAACAGUCAUAGAAAAAAAUCCACAGCACCAAAAUUUAGCACGUGAGAUUUUUAUUUAGGGAUUCUUGGUAUUGGGGGUCUUUUUUUUUUUUUCUCUCAAGGGAGUGAUUUUGUUUCUCGGCCUAGCAAUUUCAUCAUUGCUUUUGCUUAUUUGUAAGCAUAAUUCAAAAAAGUCAGAAGAAACCAUUUCUUUCCUUAUUUGGUGCGUGGUCAACAAUAAGGGUAGCAUGAGUUGGAGUCAGUGUUGCAAAUGGUUUCCCAAUUAAACAACCUGUCUCUAGGAUCCCAUAAGUUUUCAAAAAACAAAUAGAAAUAUUUCUGUAUUUAGGAGAAGCUUAAGGUUUUAAACAAUCGAGAAAUUCCAUCACCUAGUUUUAGUAAAAUUUCUUGCCACCUAAUUUUUUUAGAUCUUGUAAACAAAGUUCAUAAAGUGUUUUAAUGCUGCAAAUAAAACAUUAACAUUUCUUCAUAUGAUUAACCUUCAAAAUAUAACAGCUAAUAUUUUAUUCUUACACACAUGGGAUAUAAAGAUUUCAAAUAGAGAAAAGUGUUAUCUAUCAAAACUGAAGACUGAUAUUGUUUUUGACACUGAUAAAAUGGUAUGCCUACUUACCAUGCUCAUGAAGUAACCAAUUGGCAAUUUUUAGAACUUAAAAAUGUUUCUAACAGUAUAAAAAUAGUUUUCCUACCUCUCCCAAAAGCUUACAAACAUCAGUCGCAUGUGCCUAAAAUUUUGUGCAGUUUUCAGAAUGUUUUUAUAUAAAUUACUUUAUUCAGCCCUCUCAAAAACUUUGCAGUGGCUCUCAAAUGAGAACCAAAUGGGUAAGACACUGAAACUCAGCAAGGUCAGGCAACGAUUUUCAAGGUCACAUGGCAAGUUCGUGGCAUAACUGUAACUCUAAUCUCUAAUCCCCUAUGCAAGUGCUGCCCUGAAAAUUUGCCCAAUGGUGUUUUAAUUAAAAAGUUAAUCAAUUGAUCAAAUAGGAAAAAGAAACUAAAUAAGCCCUACCUGAAUUACCUGUUGUGAAUUUUCUGCCCCUAUUUAGGCACAUAUAAGAAUAUAAUGUAAGUGGUCCAUCUUGUUUUUAAGAUGCCCUGAAAAUAUUGGUUUGUCAAUUUAUUAAACCAACAUAAUUGUGGUGUUUAUGUCUCUAGACUAUUUGCUAAGCACUGAGCACCCAGAUGAAAAGCAGACGUAAUCCAUGCUCUUAUAGUGUUUAGGUCUAUGAGGGGAGCCAGACACUGAAUAAGUCUUUACUAAUGUGAUGACACUGACAAAGAGGAAGUGCAGAGUGCAGUGGAGACAUCACCUGGUGUGAGGAGGCAGGGAAGACUUCCGGAGGAAGUGAAUUUCAAGAUGUAAUCCUAUAUCCACCACUCUUUCACUCACCAGUCAAUAGCUAAGUAGAAUUUUUAUUUAAGACUGCAUUCAUGAAUAGAAUAUUAAAUAGAAAGAAUUUUUAUGACCUUUAAAAUUUUCAUAUGCAGAGAAUUGAACAAGACAAUUAGUGACACCAGAAGACUUUAAUACAUUUGUUAGAAAAUUGUGUUAAAUUCUUUAUUUCAAGUGAUUAGUCUACAUUGAUUUCAAGAUUUUUAAAGAAUUUGAGUCUAGAAAUAUUUUUUGAAUAGUUAGAAAAAUAUCUUAGGAGCUUGUCAGUCAUUUAGUAGAUACUCAAUAAACAUAAAAUUUAUUUUCUUUUCCUUCUAUUUCUUCCUCCGUGAUUUCUUUCCUUCAACCCCAUUUAUCCAAGUAUUCAGAAGGAGCUUUGUUAGUUUAGUGAAUAGAAAAGCUUGAUUUAGUUAUUUUCCAAAUUGCUAAAAAAAUUCCUAAACAUAAUGUAGAUGGAAACCUUAAGUGUCUAGUAAAACAUUUUGAUUCACAAUCCGUAGUUGUAUUGAUUUUUUAUCCUUAUAUUUAAGCAUGCCUCUUAUUGAUUGUUUUAGUCUAUAUCCUGAUUUUAGCUCUUUAAUUAUAAUUUGUGUCUGUUUGUGUCCUGGGUCAUAUAUGAGUAAUGAAUGCAAUUGUAGACACUUAAAGCACAGAGCAUGCUUUCCCAGUGUUCUUCAGACCAUGAGGUUCCUUCAAUUCUGUUAAUGUUUUACUGUUGCCAAAUCUUAAAAUAAUUGUCUCCCAUUUCAGAACAUGGAUUAAUUGAUUUUUCAAUCAAGUAGACUCAUAUAAGGUUCAGAAUGAAUAUUUGAAAGCAAUUCAAAGAAAAUUCUAGUAUUAUUUUGCAACACUUCAUUUGGAGAAAUAACUUACAGUUGAUUAUGCUAAGUAAUGUAAUAAAAAACGUUUUUUACAUUUACUUGUACUGAAUGGACAUUAGUUUUAAGGAGUACACAAGUCGCGUUGUCAAACUGCCUUUUGUCACACUCUUUUGCAAUCUAUCACUCUGAAGAUAAAAUUACGACGACACCCUCAUCAGAAGUAGAUGGUAAAUAACAGUCUGUUAUUUGCUUCCACGUUAACUUCUGCUGGCUUUGAGUCUGUAACCAGAGACUAUUUCAAAAUACAGCACUAUCCUGAAACCCACUAUCUGCCUGCUCUGGUUUCCUGAAGCAAUGUCUUUCAAUGUAACGCAACCCCACUGAUAUAACUGUUUAUUUCUCUGAAGUUCAGUUCAACCCUCUUCCCUCCGUAUGCCUGUUAACUAGAGACUUGAUGUGCAAGUAAUUGAAUGCCUGUGUGGAUUAUGUUUAAAUUAUCCCACUCUCAAAUUUGAGAGUUUCAUUUUUAUUCAUAGUAGCUAUCUCCUAUAAAGGAAAUUCUGAGUUUCUGUGUCAGACACCGAAACCCAAAUUUGCCAUUUGUAACAUCUGGAAUCUUGGAACCAAAAUCCCAGAAAUAUUCAAGAGACAAAAGAGAUGCCUUAUUUAGAGCUCUGCAGAACAUAAGAGCUAAGUUAUUGGCAAGAGAUGGGCACUUUGCUGAUACUUUAGGGGGGUUAGGACUUACGUGGAUAACAAUUGGAUGGGAGCAAUGUUUAGAUUGCCGAAUCCGGUUUCCCUGGGACAUAUAAAAUUAGUUUGCACAACUUGUAAACAAUAAAUUAUCCCAGGGAUGGAACAUCUCUCCUUGCUCUUCAAUCGUGCUUUUACUAAAAUUCAUCUGGAAAAAUAAACACUUAAUAAAUGACAGUAAUUAGAAUGUUCAAAAGAUGUCUUCUUUGUUCUUUUCUACUCUUUGAUACCCAUGAAGUAAAAAUUAUAAACAGCUUAUUGUAAUAUAAAUGCUAGUAAAGAUUCAUCCUAGAAAAUCAUUGUAUUUAAUUUCUUAUUUUUUCCAAAUGUCUAAAUUCUCAUGUCUGUGAAAUAUUAGCCAGUUCUUAAAAACAAUAUUGAUACUUAUAUUUGAAAUCAAGGCUUAAUUUUGCUCACAAUUAAUCUCAGAAAUAAGUAGCUUAUUUCUAUGACCUUACUGAGGCCUGGUAACCUAAGCGGGAUUAUGUGUAACUGUGUGGAAGAAAUGAAAAGGAGGCGGUAAGUAAUUAUUUAAGAAAAAGUAACAUUAAUGUUGGCAGACACUUCUUGUGUCUGUAACUGAUUUCACACUGGGAAAAUGAAGCAGAGUUUCGAUUUUCCUGUUCAUAAUUUCGCAUUUACAGUUCCAUUGUUUUUAUCUUGCUUAACUGUUCUAGAUGUCUGCCUUUACGAAGCAGGGGGGAAAGAAGGAAAUGUUUUUGACAGUAAUGAAAACAACAAAAUUGGUUCUCUUUCCUUGUACAUUUUUAGAAAAAGUUGAACAUUCCCUAGCAGAUUCAUUCUAGAUUAUUCUUAUGUCCUUAUAGUUUAUCAAUUAGAUAUCCAUUAAUUGAAUAUCCUUUAAAAAAUGUAAAUUGGUAAGCAAAGGCAGUUAAUUAUUUGUGAAAAUGUGUGCUGCUGGCUGUAGCCUGAAUAGAAAGAUGACGUUUUUCUUGCUAUCAGUAAAAUUGGGAUAACAAUGAAAAUAUUUUUCUGCUUCCAAAGUCAUGUACAUAGACUGUAGCUUUUAUUAGAAAUCAGUGACACUGUUUCACCUACAAAAUUUUAAACACCACCGGACAAAAUGAGAGCUUUGUGUUGCCUGGAGGGUGAAAAAAGUCCAUCUUUGCCAGCAACAUCCCUUCCAGUCUUCGGCUUGUCUUCGUGGCCUCCCUCCCCCUCCCUUUCAAGCCACCCCACCCCACCAGCUCUUUACACAGAUUCCUCCCCUCUUCACACAGAUCGUCAGUUAUCUUACACUGUCUGGCUUUAGUCUCAGAUGAAGACAUUCUACUAAGCACCAAGUCGUUCAGCUCAGUGCUAACUCUGCCAGGAAUGUGUGCAUUUCCUAAGAGCUGCCCAAAAUGGAAAUUAAAUAGUUUGAAAGAAUUAAAUGAUAAUGGUAGCAUUUCAGGCACCAGAAGGGCAGAUUGGCAUCAGUAUAAGCACCUUUUCAGUCCUUCUUUGAGAACACCAGGAAAGUGGCUACGUGUUUUGCCCAUGCGAAAUUUGGAUCGCUAUACAAAAGCAAAAAGACAGUUUGUGAAGUAUUACAGUAUUGCAAGUUGAUUCAGAGAGAAUGUGUUGUGUUUAUUUUUGAACUCUGUGCUCCUCCAAGGUUGCUGCUGUUCAGGGCAGUUCUCACUCACCCACUUUCUUUGAGUUCAUGUGUCUGAUAAAGAAGAGGUGAAACUGUAAAAAUGUUUCCUAUUACUCAUCUCCAAAGCUGAUAUGAAACCUGUAGCAUUCUUAAGAACCCCUGGUGUGCUGGAUGCUGUUGUGAAAAUAAGCAUAAUGUUUAAUGUCUUGAGCUUUUACUGAAAUUAUAUGAAUAUGCAAGACUCCCUUGGUGUACAAGAGACAGAUAGAGCUUUAGAGGACUCAAAAUUUGCAGAUAUGGUGAUGUUCACUGAGCUCAACUAUUGGUCAAUUUUGUCCAGUUCAGAGAGGGUUAAAUUCACUCUUGGACACUUGAAGCCUCUCUAAUCUUAUCCUGGAGAAGUGGCGCUCUCCCUUGGUUUACAGUUGAGGUUACCCGCGGGGCAGUGUUUGGACACGGACUGAUGAAAUUAUGCUGCAUUGUUAACAUUGAAUACCACUCAGUGGUGAGGACCGAUGACGGCACUAGGGUCCUUUGACUCCAUGGGUACAAUAUCUUGAAAUAGAUGCUUUCCCAAAAUGUCCUGGACUCAUAAAACAUGUGAAGGAUUCUAUUUGGCUUUCAUCAUUUAUUUAAUUUGAAAGAAAGUUGUUUUAACGGAUUUAUCAGAGUUAAGAAAUGUUUCUAGGGAAUAGAAAAUGGACAAGAUAAUUGAUCUUUGUUGUCAAAGUCAUGCAUUGUAAUUCACUCUCUAAGGUGACGCAGCAACUCCUUGAGGGAAAAGCUGCCAAAAGCUCUGAAAGUGAUCUGCCUGUUUUUCUCACACUGACUUGUAGAGAGGCACUGGUAUUUUCAAGAUGACUAAAUCCUGUUUACAUCCUGUGGAAGGUUGACUAAGAAUUAUAUCCAUCUCUUUUUAAGAGAAGUUGAAAUAAGGAAAAUUAUAGUUGGCAGUUAGCUGUGUGAAAUUUAGUAAUCUUUUUCAGAUGACCCAGUCAUAGGCAUGUAUUUACUUUUUAAAAAGUUUUAAUAAAGCCCUCUGGGUUUACAGUUUUUAAAGUUCACACUGAUACAAAGGUUUACCCACUUCAAUUACACCUUUCAUUGUGUGUGUAUGCAUGUGUGCAUGCGUGUGUGUGUGUGUUGUGCUUUUCAGGAGUGGCAUGUGACUAUGCUGUUUAAUCAGGGCUAUAUUUAAAAACAAAUUUUCUAGGGAGUGUUUCUCACAUUAAUUAUGAGAUAAGGCCCGAGUGAAGCAAGCUCUGUUGCAAAGGCCAAGUGUCAUGCAGCAGGAAGUCCUGGCCAUCCCUUCCAGCCCUGCCUCAGCCAGCCUGCCACCUCUCUGUCAGCGCAUACUACUGCACAAAGGAAAUGCCCUCACUCAGCUACAAGUGCCUCCUGCUCCUGCUCCCUGCGGGGCCUCAGGGCCCCAGGGCCCGGCACCAGCUCUGACUUCUCGUGGUUCCUGUGGAUCUUGGCAUCGUCCUUACAAAUGGCUUUUGUUUGGGAUCCUCUGGGAGCCACAGUGCCAGGACCGUCUACAGGAGCCAAAUCAAGAUUGCGUUUCUCAAAGUCCUACAGGUAUUGCUCUUUUCCUUUUGUAGCUAGGAAGAACUGCUUAACUGCCUUAGGCCCCUUGCAAAUAAGCCUUUGCCCUAUGUUGACCUUCUAACUCCUAAUGCUGGUUAAUUUGACAAUAUAUGAAAUAAGAGCCAAGAAGAUGAUGCAGAAGUUGAAGAAAGUUGACUAACUUUAAAAGCUAAUUCUGAGAGUUAAAUGGCAAACUUAACAAAGCAUUCAUAUUACUGCCACCUGAAAAACAGUGUAUUAACUUGUCUAAUGGCUUAAUAUAGUCAACCUAAAUGUUAGGGAAGGGUUCUUGUUUGACUAACCAACAACAAGAACACUACAGUAUUCUUUAUAAGUGUUUCAGGGCACAUCCACAUGAAAAAAUUGAAACUAAUGCUGUUUCAGGUAGUAAUUCAGUGUUAAUCUUGCCCAGCAGAAUUAGAUGCCAUGAAGUCAAACUAAAUAUUUUAAUAAUCUUUUGUUUCUGGAAAUAAUAUUAAAAAUCUUGACCUCAUGACUUCACUAAACUGUCAAUGACUGUUUUACAAGAAAAUCAGCUUAUUUUAACCAAAUAACUGGAAAAAAAGAAGACACUUUAAAAAAUCUUGGAUUUCCUUCUCAUUUGAGUAUUCUAGGUAUUAAUAAAGAUAAGAUUGAUUAUUCUUUAUUAUUGUUUAUAAAUAAAAGCUUUUUUUGUUUUUUAUUGAUUAAAAUUUAUAGCACUGAAAGGUAUCUAUUUAAUCAAUAGUAAAUAGAAGUGACAUUGUUUGCAAAAUUUUGGAUAUAAGGUCUUUCUUAUUUAGACCACAUGUAGCACAUCUGGAAGCUGCCAGGCCUAUGUAGAAAUGUACAUUAACACAGGAUUAAAAUGUGUUCUGAUUUUCCUGCAUGGAAAACAUUCAAAAUUUGAAUUAAAAUGAUUUAUAAGGAUUAUUUGCUUUAGACAGUAAAGAAGACAAUGUCCUUGGAACUUUUAGGGAACUAUAAAAUCAGAGAAAUCAAAUUAAAAAAUUUGUUAUAACAAUGCAAAAGCAAACUUUGGCAAGAGAUAAAUAUAAUUUUUAUUUGAAAAGAAAUUAACGAUUUAUUACGUUAGUUUGUAAAAGCUAUAAAAUUUGGUUGAAAAUUUGAAAUUAUAUGCCUACUAUGUGCUUUGCAUUCUGUCGAAUGUGAUUCUCAUGUUUAUUAUAUGCUAAAUUGUACAUUCAGAACCUAACAUCAAUUAUUUGCUAACUUUACUGUGCAUAUUUCCAAUAUAUGGUGGCUUCUAGGCUCUCUUCAUCACUGAGAUCUGAUCACAAGCUCCUUAAUAUCAUAAAUCUCCAACUGCUGAAUAAAGUAAAAGCAGUAGCUUGAUGGACUAAAGAAUUUGAGAAAUCUCACGAAAUGCAAAGUUUAAGCUCUACUCUCAGUUUGGCAAAGAUAUUUUUAUCUGAGGUGUUAUGGUAUGAUAAAAAUUUAAAGCUAUAUGAUAAAUAUAUUUUUUCAAGGUUCCUUUGGUCAAGUUCUGGCCCUUUCCAAAAUAUAAGCAUUAGCAGCUAAGGAUAACUUUUUCAUGUAUUUGAAUACCUCACAUCUGUAAUUUUAACAAACUUAAUUUGUAACAAGUUUAACAGGUAAGGAUGACAUCUCUAAUAUCCAUCAUGAGCCCAUUUCCUUUGGAAGCUUCAGAGACAGUCCUUCCUUUAUUUCCUCUUAAUUUGAAUAUACAAUUUCCCACAUAAUAAUUAAUUUUUUAUAUGUGCUGUUUUCACUGUUUGGAGGUUCUAGUUUAUCUUUCCAGUUGCACUGCAAACUCUUUGAGGUUUGAAGCUUCUUUAUAUACAACAAGAAUGCCAGUAAUGUUUAUUUGAUAAAGUAUCCUGUUACCCUUUCUUAUUUGGCAUCACCCCAUAAUGCUUUAUUGGCAUAACCAACUUGAUAUGAUCAUAUCUAUCAUAAGUUGAAUUGGGUGGAAGGGUUAGGGAGGUAGGAAGGCAGUUGGCCACUGGCUCUCGCAUUUCUGCAGGUCCCUUAGUCAUCCAAAGGAGAUUAUGCAUUCAGCCACAACAAUCUACUGACAAUAAUGCAAAAAGGUACUUAUUAUAUAACUUAAAAUUUUUAUCAUACCGUAAUACCUCAGAUGCACCAUGAGUCACUAUAUAUAUAUACAGACACAUAUACACACCACACACAGGCACAUGCACGCACAGUUAAAUGCUAUAAUUAUCUUCUGAAGAACAUAGUUUUAUUGCAUAGCAUUCUUGGAAUUAAAGGUGUUAAACUAUUUGAUGUAAACAUGUAAAAUAUCUCAUAAUGUCACAGCCUUGUUUUUGCAUUUCUUAAUUUAAAAAAAAUAUACAAAAUCCUUAAAUGGCGAAAGUAACUUAAGCUUAUCUUGACCUUUAAGAUGCUUUGGAUAUGAUUCCAUUAUUGAAGCAACUGAAAGAACUGGACAUUAGACAACAUUUCUUCACUGAAUUUCUCCCAUAUUUUUUAUGAGCAAUAUUUUAUAUCUUGUAAAAUCUUCAAAUGUGCCUAUUGUAGUGUCAUUUUUCUUUGACUAUCAAAUGGAUAAUAAUGCAUGAUACUGGGGGUACACUUAGCUUUAAGCUGGAAUAUUUUUAUUUGGCAUGGCUUUCGCUCCCUGGUAACAUUCAGGCUAAUGGAAAGCCAAGUCUGUAAGAUAUGAAAUUCAAUUAGUGUCUGAUUUGUUAAAGUAAUAGCAAAUCAUAUACAUUUAAUGAGUGUUGACUCUUGAGAAAUACAAUCUUAAACAGUUUACAAUGCUCAAAAUAGAUUUGAAAGUUUUUCAGCUGUGACAGUUUUUUGUCUUAUGUGGUUGAAAUAGAUUUUUAUAAAAAAACAAAAAUGAUUAAUAUAUAGCUUAUUAAGUUUGGUUUGAGGCAGAAAGAGGGAUUGAAAGAGAAAAGAAGAGGGAGAGGGAAGGAAAGGCAGGAGAGGGGAGUGGAGCAGGGCCGUGGGGAGAGGAGUGAGGAACAGAAAAAGAGAGAAAGCAGAGGAUUACAUAAUAAGGAAGCUACUUUUUCUCUGUGAACCCAGAAGAGAGUGCCAACCGUGUUUUCAGUAAUGGGAUCAGUGUUAGCAUUAGGGCACUGCUUACAAAGAUGAGUACUAUUUUUGAGGGCAAGGUGCUGAUUUAUCUGCCUAGGUUCUGGCACAUGUGUUUAAAGAUUCACCUAAUUACGUUAGAGCAAUGCGCCCCCAAGUAUUAUAGAGAAGAAAGAGGAGAGUGAUGUGCUCAUGUUAAAUUUGAGAAAACAAUGUGGAUAAGUUUAUAUUGGUUGUUUAAAUAUAGUACCUAAAAAAAGAUGGGGAAAAACUAUCUGGGAAGUAAGGAAAGAAUCAAGGAGCAAACAUUUAGCAAGCGUGUGGACCCUGACAACUCCAAUAAGAGAACACUAGGGAAUUUUGUAUUUUAAAAUACAUUGUUGUUUAAAACUACAGUAGUGUUCAAGGAAACUUUAAAUAGAAAAUUACUCUUCUUGAGAUGAUUCUGUCUUCCAAAGAGAACAAAUCACAAAACAUUUCCUGCUUUCUGUCUUCUUAAAAAGGGAUGUUAAAAGGAACAUUUUAUGUGAUGAGUAUAGGGUAGGUACUACGUAAAUAGAAGAAAAAGUCACUCAGAGUACAUUUGAAUGUAGGGCAGAGAUUAUUCCAUAGCAUUCCACAGACCAGAAACAGAAAGUGUCUUCUAGUUUUCUUGCCCUUUAUAGUAAUAGGGGUCAGGGGAUAGAAAUUCUCAGAAAAUCUCCAAAUCUCAUUUUUGCCAAUUGUUUCAACAUCUUUUCCUUCCCAGCAUUUUAGGAGAGCUACCAAACAGGUGAUUAAUUAAGUAUGUAUGUGCAUGCUUAUACUUGAUGUAGAAGGUCUAAUGAGUAAAUUUGUUUGAUAUGACAUAGACUGAACAGUAGAAGGAAGGAGGAAUGACAAUCACAUCAAUAAACAAAAGUACAAAUGAUAUCUGGGCUAUGAAAAGAUAAAGCAAUAUUUGCCCAAAUAAGAAGAUCUAGAUAUCCCUAAAUUAUCCCCUGUAUUCUUAGGAAGUAAAGAUCAAUCUGCAACUUUGAUCUGGAAAUUAUAUAGUAGCAGAUAUGAGCAGGGAUCAUAGGAGAGUGUGGUCUCAUAGCUACUCUUGGCCACUUCCAAAACCUAAGUGGUAGCACAUCAGUGAUUGCCCAACCAAACUGCACAAUUCCCAUGAGAAAAAGCUGUCUGGAACCCACAUCUUAGAAAGGGAGUGAGCACCACCUGAAUCAAUACACUAGGACGUAGUGUCUGCAUACCCCAAGAAUACCUCCUGUUGCAUAGCACUUUUUAGUUUUCAAAGCUUUUCAGAUGUAACAGAUUUGACAACUGUUGUUUUUAGUGUGCCACAGCUCAUCUCACUUAAUGCUUUAGGGUAAGUGAAAAGGAUGGAUGUAAUUAUUAUGAAAUAGGAGAAGAACAACUGGAGGUUCAGGGACUAGAGACCACACACACAUGUGGUUAGAAAGUCCAAAGUAGGCCCGCGGGACCGGGUGCGAUGGCGGCGGGUGCGAUGGCGGCGGUGGCUGCACGGCAGCUGGGGCUGCGGGCGGCGGGGCUGGGACGGGCCCCUGCCAGCGCCGCUUGGAGGAGCGUCCUCGGGGUCUCCCCGCGCCCAGAUGUGGCAGUUCUGCAGCAGAAGCAUCUGCCACAAAAGCGGAAGAUGACUCCAUUCUUCAGUGGGUCCUGCUCCUCAUCCCUGUGACUGCCUUUGGCUUGGGGACAUGGCAGGUCCAACGUCGGAAGUGGAAGCUGAACCUGAUUGCAGAGUUGGAGUCUAGAGUUCUGGCUGAGCCUGUCCCUCUACCAGCAGACCCAAUGGAACUGAAAAAUAUGGAGUAUAGGCCAGUGAAAGUCAAGGGGUGCUUUGACCACUCCAAGUUGCUGUAUAUGAUGCCCCGGACCUUGGUGGACCCUGCCUGGGAGGCCUGGGAGGCUGGCCGCAUCUCCUCCUCAACUCAGAGUGGGGCCUAUGUGGUCACUCCCUUCCACUGCACCGACCUGGGAGGGCACAGUCCCUGGAGGACCCAUUGGAGGGCAAACCAGAGUUACUCUGAGGAACGAGCAUCUGCAGUACAUCGUCACCUGGUGUGGACUCUCUGCAGCUACAUCAUACCUGUGGUUUAAGAAAUUCCUACGUGGGACACCUGGUGUGUAACAGAUCAGCUGCUAAAGCCCUGUCCCUGAAUAAUGAAGUAAAAAGACUGCCUUUAUGCUGGAUCAUGUGGUAUAAAGUUCUGGCCUUCUACCUUAAAAAA